UGCAUGUCAGGCAAGUAGGGCUUAGAAAAGAAUUUACCCUCCUUCACCUCUGUCACCUCAUCCCUCCUUCCAACCUCCAUCACUUGUGUGGCAAACUGGACUCGGAGCCAGAAGGCACCAGAAAAAGUGGAAUGUGAGCCUGCAGGCCAUCAAGGUGAAGCCCUGAGGAUCCCCCGGGGCCAGUCCCUCCACUUUGAUGCGGAUAAGCCUCAGCUAGUGUCAAGUUGAAAGGAGAAAAAGACAGCCCCUCAGCAGGUGCUGCCUUCCUGUCUUGGUCUCAUUGUCCUCAAAUCAGACCUGCAGGUAUGGUCCCAAGUGCUUCUAACCUUCAUCCUCAUAUCCACGGGAUCCCCUGAGAACCCAGCUUCUGUUAUUGAGAACUGUCCCACCUGCUGACUAAGGAGUCUGAUCUUUAUUCAGAAUCAUUGCUAAGAUACCAGAAGAAAUAA
rnacentral:lncRNA from 1 species